ACGAACGCUGGCGGCGGGCCUAACACAUGCAAGUCGAACGCACUCGACCUUCGGGUCACAUGAGUGAGUGGCGAACGGGUGAGUAACACGUGAGGAACCUGCCCCGAAGACUGGAAUAACCCGAGGAAACUCGGGCUAAUACCGGAUAUCCCCACCAGGUCGCAUGGCCAGGUGAGGAAAUGCUCCGGCGCUUCGGGAGGGUCUCGCGACCUAUCAGCUAGUUGGUGAGGUAACGGCUCACCAAGGCAUCGACGGGUAGCUGGUCUGAGAGGACGAUCAGCCACACUGGGACUGAGACACGGCCCAGACUCCUACGGGAGGCAGCAGUGGGGAAUCUUGCGCAAUGGGCGAAAGCCUGACGCAGCCACGCCGCGUGAGGGAUGAAGGCUUUCGGGUUGUAAACCUCUUUCAGCAGGGACGAAAAUGACGGUACCUGCAGAAGAAGCGCCGGCCAACUACGUGCCAGCAGCCGCGGUAAUACGUAGGGUGCAAGCGUUGUCCGGAAUUAUUGGGCGUAAAGAGCUCGUAGGCGGUUUGUCGCGUCUGCUGUGAAAUUUCGAGGCUCAACCUCGAACUUGCAGUGGGUACGGGCAGGCUAGAGUGCAGUAGGGGAGAUGGGAAUUCCUGGUGUAGCGGUGGAAUGCGCAGAUAUCAGGAGGAACACCAAUGGCGAAGGCACAUCUCUGGGCUGUAACUGACGCUGAGGAGCGAAAGCGUGGGGAGCGAACAGGAUUAGAUACCCUGGUAGUCCACGCCGUAAACGGUGGGUGCUAGCUGUGGGCCACAUUCCACGUGGUCCGUGACGAAGUUAACACAUUAAGCACCCCGCCUGGGGAGUACGGCCGCAAGGCUAAAACUCAAAGGAAUUGACGGGGGCCCGCACAAGCGGCGGAGCAUGCGGAUUAAUUCGACGCAACGCGAAGAACCUUACCAAGGCUUGACAUAUACAGGAAAAGCGUAGAAAUACGCUCCCCGCAAGGUCUGUAUACAGGUGGUGCAUGGUUGUCGUCAGCUCGUGUCGUGAGAUGUUGGGUUAAGUCCCGCAACGAGCGCAACCCUCGUCCUAUGUUGCCAGCACGUAAUGGUGGGAACUCAUGGGAUACUGCCGGGGUCAACUCGGAGGAAGGUGGGGAUGACGUCAAAUCAUCAUGCCCCUUAUGUCUUGGGCUUCACGCAUGCUACAAUGGCCGGUACAGAGGGCUGCAAUACCGUAAGGUGGAGCGAAUCCCAAAAAGCCGGUCUCAGUUCGGAUUGAGGUCUGCAACUCGACCUCAUGAAGUCGGAGUCGCUAGUAAUCGUAGAUCAGCAACGCUACGGUGAAUACGUUCCCGGGCCUUGUACACACCGCCCGUCAA
rnacentral:rRNA from 1 species